UAAUAUAUAAAUUUCAUGUUAACUAGUCAAGCAACUGAAAUGGAAUAAGAUAAGAAUCUCUGGAGAUCUUUCCUCUCCACUUACUCGAUACAGGCUUUCCUUCUGUAGAAGACUUCUGCCGAAUGGCAUAAUUGUCCGAUUUUUUCCUCGAUCUUCAAAGAAGACUGACUCCUCCUACUUUUCCUUAAGGGAGUUGUUCAUUAAUCACCAGAUAUAAAGCAAAGGGCACUGGCACUGUUCUCAUCACUGGAAUCUCGCCUGGCAACCCAGACAAUGUGUUUUCUUUCAAAAUCCUUUUAGGAACCCUAGAGUAGAUCAUCUUGUAUAAGUUAUCUGCGUAAUAUUUUAUGGUACAAAUUUCUCCAAAAAAGAAAAUAUUUAGGAAGACAUCUUUUUUGUGUGCUGAGGA
rnacentral:lncRNA from 1 species